UUUUAUUUUAAAAUAUCGUUUUAGUGAGAAUGAUUUUGUGUAAUUUUGUAAUGAUUUCGAUUUGAGAAUCGCAAAUUUAGUGAAAAAGUAAUUUUCCGUGAGAAAUUUUCUUGUUAUAUUAUGUUUAACUUGAAAACCACGAAGGCGAAUUCGACAAAUUUGAUUAGGUGUUGGUGCGCGAUUCUACGCGAAAUUUUAACCCGUUAACGAAACGAAAGGUAAAUGUAGUGCACGUUCCAUAAUGCGGUUUGCCAAAAAGUAGGUGAUUGUUGGAUAAAUAACAAAAAAAUGAUUUUCCAUUCUUCAUAAGAAAUAUUUCAAAAUACAUAUUUUACGUUUCUACUUGGUACUGCUAGAUAAUUCAAUUCAUUUGAACGUAUGCUGAAAUUUUCCAAUAUUGUAAAUCGAAUAAAUUUUUUCUCCAUCCAUUAUUCCAAAAUUUAUGCUGAGAAAUUGAUAUUUUUCCCCAAAAUUGAAUGUAACACAAUUUCAAUAUGAUAUACGAGAAAUAUCCACAAAGAAAUUUCCAUUUGAUUAUAAAAAAACAUAUGUGCAGGUCAAAAAACAUAUUUUUCAUGCUGUUAACCUUAUUUUCUAUGUAGUUUCGAAAAUUUUUUAAACACUUGAUUUUCUAUGCCUCCUCCAUGUUCUUCCGGCUCGUUUCAACUUUGAACGAGAGAUUUCAGGUGUAAGAAGAGAUGAAAGUCGGUAGGAGCGAGGUCCGAGCGAUACGGAGGAUGAUCAAACACACCCCAGCCAAAUUCUUGGAGCGGUUUUUAUGUCACGUCACAGUGUGAGAUGGGGCAUUAUCGUGAAAAAAAAACAAAAACCAGUAAUCCACGGAGUUUGCUCUAUUUCUUAAUUUCCACGCAUGUGCCUAAAUCAAACGGCAAAACGUCGGAGCAAACGGUGGAAAUGAGUUGUCGAGGUGUCGAAAUUUGCAUCCCCCUAUGAAUAUUCGAAAUAUAGGUUUUCAUUGCAACUUGGAAAAGGAACUUACAUUGUGGAUGUACCUCGUAUGAAAGAAAUACUAAAAUCAGUUAUUAAAACGUUUUAUUCAAAUUUUUCUAAAAUUUUCGGUUGGAAUUUUUGCAUCAAAUUUUGAUUGAAAUGAUUUUUUUUUGUUAUUUAUUGAGUGAGCAAAACUUUGAUCAGAUGUUGUAGUUUCUUGUGUUUUUAUCUAGGAAUAUUUUGUUGAGAUUAAUACACUCACAGAUUUUAAUUAUUGAAGAAAAAUGGUUUGAAUUUAUUUUUGAAUAACUAAUUAACAUUCAGAAAGUUUUAACAAACAUCCAAUUAUACUUAUAAAACAAUGUUUUCGAAAUCUUUAGGGAUCUUUUGAAAUUUGAAGUUAAAUUUAAAUAUUUCAUUUGAGCAUAAAAUUCAUAAUUCACUCGUGUUUAAAGCAAGUUUAUUCUCUAAAUUAUUACUCAGAUUACUCAGAUUAUGUCGCAAAUUUCGACUACUCCCUUAGAUUCGAACAGAAGAUUGUUAAUACUUACGACCAAAGCUAAUUUUUCUCAUUAUACUGAUCAAAUAAAAUCUUGACUUUGUUAUUUUAGAUUGAUUAAUUCUUUUCAGCGUUUACAGUAACAUAUUUAAGUCCAGAAAAAUUUGAUGAAUAAUUCUGAUGAUAAUCAUAUGAUAGAAUUGCUCCAAUACACCUCAAAUUCACUUUGAUUCGAAAUAGUCGUACAUGGAUCAUUCUGAUCAAUAUAAAUGAUAAUUAGAUAAUUAAUUUACUUCAAAAGGGGGAUUUCCAUUCGAACGUCUUUCUGAGUAAUCUGUUGAGAUUUUACUGAUCUUUGAGAACAAAUCUGUUGUGUUAAUGAGAUGAUUGUGUGAUGAAUGUCUUUGGAAUUUGAUUAAAAAUGAGGCAGGCAACCGCCGCGAUAUGGAAAAGUGAUUCGUAAUUUUCGGUAUCGGUUUCGGUGUGCCGCGAUUCGAUUUUAAGUGAUGGAAAUCAUGGAAAUGGAAAAUGGAUAUGCGGGCUUUCCUAUGUGGACAAAGUUAUGUGUUGGUGCGCGAUUCUACGCGAAAUUUUAACCCGUUAACGAAACGAAAGGUAAAUGUAGUGCACGUUUCAUAAUGCGGUUUGCCAAAAACUAGGUGAUUGUUGGAUAAAUAACAAAAAAAAUGAUUUUCCAUUCUUCAUAAGAAAUAUUUCAAAAUACAUAUUUUACGUUUCUACUUAGUACUGCAAGAUAAUUCAAUUCAUUUGAACGUACGUUGAAAUUUUCCAAUAUUGUAAAUUGAAUAAAUUUUUCUCCAUCCAUUAUUCCAAAAUUUAUGCUGAGAAAUUGAUAUUUUUCCCCAAAAUUGAAUGUAACACAAUUUCAAUAUGAUAUACGAGAAAUAUCCACAAAGAAAUUUCCAUUUGGUGAUAAAAAAACAUACGUGCCGGUCAAAAAACAUAUUUUUCAUGCUUAUUUUUUUAAACACUUGAUUUUGUAUGCCUCCUCCAUGUUCUUCCGGCUCGUUUCAACUUUGAACGAGAGAUUUCAGGUGUAAGAAGAGAUGAAAGUCGGUAGGAGCGAGAUCCGAGCGAUACGGAGGAUGAUCAAACACACCCCAGCCAAAUUCUUGGAGCGGUUUUUAUGUCACGUCACAGUGUGAGAUGGGGCAUUAUCGUGAAAAAAAAAACAAAAACCAUUUGACAGUAAUCCACGGAGUUUGCUCUAUUUCUUAAUUUCCACGCAUGCGCCUAAAUCAAACGGCAAAACGUCGGAGCAAACGGUGGAAAUGAGUUGUCGAAGUGUCGAAAUUUGCAUCCCCCUAUGACUAUUCGAAAUAUAGGUUUUCAUUGCAACUUAGAAAAGGAACUUACAUUGUGGAUGUACCUCGUAUGAAAGAAAUACUAAAAUCACUUAUUAAAACGUUUUAUUCAGAUUUUCGGUUCGAAUUUUUGCAUCAAAUUUUGAUUGAAAUGAUUUUUUUUUGUUAUUUAUUGAGUGAGCAGAACUUUGAUCAGAUGUUGUAGUUUCUUGUGUUUUUUUCUAGGAAUAUUUUGUUGAGAUUAAUACACUCACAGAUUUUAAUUAUUGAAGAAAAAUAGUUUGAAUUUAUUUUUGAAUAACUAAUUAACAUUCAGAAAGUUUUAACAAACAUUCAAUUAAACUUACAAAACAAUGUUUUCGAAAUCUUUAGGGAUCUUUUGAAAUUUGAAGUUAAAUUUAAAUAUUUCAUUUGGGCAUAAAAUUCAUAAUUCACUCGUGUUUAAAGCAAGUUUAUUCUCUAAAUUAUUACUCAGAUUACUCAGAAUAUGUCGCAAAUUUCGACUACUCCCUUAGAUUCAAACAGAAGAUUGUUAAUACUUAUGACCAAAGCUAAUUUUACUCAUUAUAUGAUAUUGAUCAAAUAAAAUCUUGACUUUGUUAUUUUAGAUUGAUUAACUCUUUUCAGCGUUUACUGUAACACAUUUAAGUCCAGUAAAUAUUUGAUGAAUAAUUAUGAUGAUAAUCAUAUGAUAGAAUUGCUCCAAUACACCUCAAAAUUAACUUUGAUUCUAAAUAGUAGUACAUGGAUCAUUCUGAUCAAUAUAAAUGAUAAUUAGAUAAUUAAGUAACUUUAAAAGGGGGAUUUCCAUUCAAAUGACUUUCUGAGUAAUCUGUUGAGAUUUUCCUGAUCUUUGAGAACAAAUCUGUUGUGUUAAUGAGAUGAUUGUGUGAUGAAUGUCUUUGGAAUUUGAUCAAAAAUGAGGCAGGCAACCGCCGCGAUAUGGAAAAGUGAUUCGUAAUUUUCGGUAUCGGUUUCGGUGUGCCGCGAAUCGAUUUUAAGUGAUGGAAAUCAUGGAAAUGGAAAAAGGAUAUGCGGGCUUUCACUUGUGGACAAAGUUAUGUGUUUGUGCGCGAUUGGACGCGAAAUUUUAACCCGUUAACGAAACGAAAAAUAUAUAGUGUGCGAAUCGAUAAAGCGGUAUGCCAAAAGGUAGGUGAUUGUUGAAUAAAUAACGAAAAAACAUAUUUCUUCAAUUUUUAUAACAAAUAUGUAUUUCAAACUACAAAUAUAUGUUUUUCUAAAAUGGAAAUGCUGCUGCAUCAGGAAUAUAUAAAUACAUGUAAAAUUCUAUUUUCUAUUAUCGUUUUUCUGUGUCACGCUUCUUUCCAAAACUUAACCUGUUUGAAAAAUAAAUUUUUUAUGUAAUAAAUUCUUUACAAAUUAAAUGUAAAACAAUUUUCCUAUAGUAAAUACUAAAAUACUAAAAAUUGUCAUACACGUCUAAAUAACAUUUUUAUAACAGUUUCAAGAUUAAUUUCAGAUGAAAUGUUUUUUUUUGUUAUUUAUUGGGUGUGCUAUGAAAAUUAUUUCCAUGAUAAUUUGUUGAUGGUUACAUACAUGAGACAGGAGACAUACAGGAUUCCAGGAACAUUUUGAUUGUUUACGUACGGAGAUAUCGUUUCAAAUUCGUUUACACAAUUACCUAUCUAUUAUUAAACAGAGCCACUUUAUUCUUGACUUAAUUCGAAAAAUUUUAUUAAAAUUUAGAUUAAAUAGCAAGAAAUUAUAAUACAAUACAUUUUUUUCCAAAAUGUCUUUAAAAACCAUUUAAAAUACAGAGAUUAUUUUGAGAAUAUUAUCCAAAUAACUUUGAUAAAAUUGAUUAGAUUCUGUUGAUAUUUUGUGUAAAAAUUGAUGGAAUAAAUUAAAAUUUGAAAGUUAAAUGUCCACUCGUUUGGAAACGAGUAAAGAAGAUGAUUGUUUGAAAUAACUAUUAGGGAAUUUUGAAAGUUAUUAAUUUCGAUAAAUUUGUUGAAAGAUUCGAAAAAAAUUGAGAGCGGCUCAAUAUAUGAAAAAUCCAUCUGAAUAUGAAUUGAAACGAAUUAUUUAUUUUUUUAUAGGUAUCUAGGUACAAUGAGGAGUUUGCAGUUCUUUGAUGUGUUAUAUUUCCAAAUUUUUGAAUUUAUUCUUUCUUGUUUUGAUGUUUUGUGUGAUAUGUGAUAUAGUGUGAUCGCAUGGUUAUCCUCGGGUACAAUAAGGACUUGUAGUUUUUAGAAAAUCUCCUUAAACUAAUUAAUUAACGAACUUUUUGUUAAUUUUUUCAAUACUGUUGGUUAUAUAACUAAUUAAGUUUAACUUGUAGAUGUGAUUUCCAUUCAAAUGACUUUCUAAGUAAUCUGUUGAGAUUUUCUUCAACUAUGAGGACGAGGCUGUUGGGUUAAGCUAAUUUUUUUCGGAAAAUUAGUUCCCUAGAAACGACAAGUACAGGCUUGAGGUUGCUCUAACGUAGUGGACUAACAAGUCUGUGCUAUGGGGAUGAUUGUGUGAUGUAUGUCUUUGGAAUUUGAUCAUAAAUGAGGCAGGCAACCGCCGCGAUAUGGAAAAGUGAUUCGAAAUUUUCGGUAUCGGUGUGCCGCGAAUCGAUUUUAAAAGUGUUGGACAAUAUGGAAAUUGGUAUAUGGAAAUGGAUAUGGAAAAUGGAUAUGGAAAGUCUACUUCGUGGAAGACCAUAUGUGAGUACAAAUUUUUAUAUACAUUAAAUUAGGUUGGGUGAUUUCGUUUUCUAAUGAUAGUAAAGUUAUAACGCAAUGAUAAACUUUUGUCUGAUGCUUACAAAGAUAUGAAAAUCAAGUUACUUUUGAGUUCUUUAUUUGAUAGAAAAGUUUCACAACCAAAAAAAUCGUAUGGAAAAAAAUUUAUAGAUAUCUGGAGAAUAAUAUUCCGUAUGAAUUUGCAUUUUUAAGUUUGGUAUUUUCAGUUAAGUAAAUUGAAAGUAUGUGUGUGAUAAUUAUUGUAUCUUGUAUGCGUGUGUAAAAAAUUCCGUUUUGAAAUCUUUAUAUCAAUGGCUACUUCAUUUGUUAUAAAUUUUGGUUUUUCUUUCCCAAACUGGACCUGAAAUUUAAAAAUAUAAAAUGUUGUAAACUUCGGAUCUGUGAAUUACUUUGAUAAUAAUUGAAUGAUAAAAUUAUUAUACACUAUUUUGUUCUUAUACAGAACUUAAUAAAAUUGAAUUUUUCGAAAUGAAAAUUACAUUUUUCUAAUAAUAAUUCGAAAAAAAAAACAUAUUUUCUGGACAUUUUAUUUUAUAAUCGACUGUGAACAAUUUAUUCCAACGUUAAUUGUUUCUAAUUUAUAUCAACCCUUAAAAAAAGAAAACUGAAUCUGUUUCUUUUUUAAUUUUGAACGUUUUCUGCUCAAGUUAGUUGAAUGUAUAUAUGUAAUAAUAUAUUUUGCAAAAUAAAGAUUUUCUCAAGAGUUUAUCGAAUAUCGAUAGCUACUUCCUUUGUUAUAAAUUUUCAUCAUUCCUACCCAUUUUGGACUUGAAAUUUGAAAAGAUAAAAAUGUAAUAACUAUUUAAGGUAAACUUCGAAUCUUACUUAUAGACAAUUGAAUAAUAAAAUCAUCAUAUAUCGUUUUUUCUAAUGCAGAACUUUACAUGAUUAAAUUUUUCGAAACUGAAAAUCCAUUUUACCAAUAAUGAUUUGAGAAAAAAACAUCUUCUGGACUGUUUUAUCAUAGAAUUGACUUGGAAAAUUUUUUCAAACGUAAAUUAUUUCUAAUAUAUAUCAAUCAUUUAAAAAAAAACACUGAAUCUGUUUAUUUUUAAUAUUCUCUGAUUAAGUUAAUAGAAGAAAGUAUGUAUGUAAUAAUGAUAAAUACCUUUUACGGAAUGGAAAUUUUUCAAAGUCCAUCAAAUAGGAAGCUAACUUGUGUGAAAAAUUAAGUUUCCCAAUCUUCAUAUCGACAGCUAUUUCAUCUGUUAUAAAUUUUCGUCUUUCUUUUUUCUAAAACAAAUUUUUAUAAAAUUGAAUUUUUCGAAACUAAAAUUCCUUGUUUUUAAUAAUCAUUUGAGAAAAAAAAUUAUUUUCUGGACUAUUUUAUCAAGAGAAAUUUUUCAAAGUUGUUAUACAUCGUUUUUUUCUAAAACAAAUUUUUAUAAAAUUGAAUUUUUCGAAACUAAAAUUCCUUGUUUUUAAUAAUCAUUUGAGAAAAAAAAUCAUUUUCUGGACUAUUUUAUCAUAUAAGCGACUUGAAGAAAUUUUUCAAAGUAGUUAUACAUCGUUUUUUUCUAAAACAAAUUUUUUUAAAAUUGAAUUUUUCGAAACUAAAAUUCCAUGUUUUUAAUAAUCAUUUGAGAGAAAAAAAUCAUUUUCUGGACUAUUUUAUCAUAUAAGCGACUUGGAAAAAUUUUUCAAAGUUGUUAUACAUCGUUUUUUUCUAAAACAAAUUUUUUUAAAAUUGAAUUUUUCGAAACUACAAUUCCUUGUUUUUAAUAAUCAUUUGAGAUAAAAAUUAUUUUCUGGACUAUUUUAUCAUAUAAGCGACUUGGAAAAAUUUUUCAAAGUUAUUAUACAUCGUUUUUUUCUAAAACAAUUUUUUAUAAAAUUGAAUUUUUCGAAACUAAAAUUCCUUGUUUUUAAUAAUCAUUUGAGAGAAAAAAAUCAUUUUCUGGACUAUUUUAUCAUAUAAGCGACUUGGAGAAAUUUUUCAAAGUUGUUAUACAUCGUUUUUUUCUAAAACAAAUUUUUUUAAAAUUGAAUUUUUCGAAACUAAAAUUCCUUGUUUUUAAUAAUCAUUUGAGAGAAAAAAAUCAUUUUCUGGACUAUUUUAUCAUAUAAGCGACUUGGAGAAAUUUUUCAAAGUUGUUAUACAUCGUUUUUUUCUAAAACAAAUUUUUUUAAAAUUGAAUUUUUCGAAACUAAAAUUCCAUGUUUUCAAUAAUCAUUUGAGAAAAAAAAUCAUUUUCUGGACUAUUUUAUCAUAUAAGCGACUUGGAAAAAUUUUUCAAAGUUAUUAUACAUCGUUUUUUUCUAAAACAAAUUUUUAUGAAAUUGAAUUUUUCGAAACUAAAAUUCCUUGUUUUUAAUAAUCAUUUGAGAGAAAAAAAUCAUUUUCUGGACUAUUUUAUCAUAUAAGCGACUUGGAAAAAUUUUUCAAAGUUAUUAUACAUCGUUUUUUUCUAAAACAAUUUUUUAUAAAAUUGAAUUUUUCGAAACUAAAAUUCCUUGUUUUUAAUAAUCAUUUGAGAGAAAAAAAUCAUUUUCUGGACUAUUUUAUCAUAUAAGCGACUUGGAGAAAUUUUUCAAAGUUGUUAUACAUCGUUUUUUUCUAAAACAAAUUUUUUUAAAAUUGAAUUUUUCGAAACUAAAAUUCCUUGUUUUUAAUAAUCAUUUGAGAGAAAAAAAUCAUUUUCUGGACUAUUUUAUCAUAUAAGCGACUUGGAAAAAUUUUUCAAAGUUAUUAUACAUCGUUUUUUUCUAAAACAAAUUUUUAUGAAAUUGAAUUUUUCGAAACUAAAAUUCCUUGUUUUUAAUAAUCAUUUGAGAGAAAAAAAUCGUUUUCUGGACUAUUUUAUCAUAUUAGCGACUUGAAGAAAUUUUUCAAAGUUGUUAUACAUCGUUUUUUUCAAA